GCUGCCAGCGUGACGUAUAAUCUAGUGGACGGUUCUUCAUAAACAGCUCGUCAACCACCUCGGUAGCUUGCUAGCCAACAUAGCCGAAAGAUUCAAGCUAUUUAUACGCUUUCGAUGUAUAUUACCUACUGUGUUUUCGACACACUUAGGUCGUAUCUAGUUGUUAACCUAUUUAAUAUUACGUUAUUUUGUAUUAGUCAGCUAUAGUAGCUGGCUGGUUAAGUUAGCACUAGCCUAGUCGCUAAUGAUAGCUAGCUAGCUAACAUCCCCGAACAUGAGCUCCCUAAACUUCUCCCCUCCUGCUAAAGAAGAGGAAGUCUGCUGGACGGAGAAAGAGGGUCUGGGGCUGAACAUUGUUGUGAAAGAGGAGGAAGAGGAGGCUGAUUUUGGUGUGAAGGAGGAGGAGGAGGAGAUGACUGUCACAUUGGAGGAAGAAGAGGAGGUUGGAGAUCUGUUUAACCCCAGUUUUCUGUCCUCAGAUAAAGAGCGCUAUGAAAGCCAGUCUACAUAUGAAGAGGUCCCAAUGAAGAGCAGUGGUUCUCAGUCCUGGGGACUCAAAGAGGCACAUUGUUGUUUUUGCCUCAGCACUGCACAGCUGAUUCAAAUGAUCAACUCAUCAUCAAGCUUCAAGUGAUACCUUGUAACUGGAGAUUCCUUCAAAACGAUUGCCUACAGUUACCGUGUAGGGCACUGCAAGGUUGGGUGACCAGGGUCAUCUGGGACUGCCUCUUGGAGGAAUUCAGGUGUGUGAAGGCUACCUGUGUCCUGCGUAACUUCAUGAGGAUGGACACGAGGACCAGGAAGGGAUCUGCAGCUCGCCGCCGUGUCCCAGAGGAGGAGUCUGCUGCUCUGCAGGAUGUUUCAAGGAUGGGGUCCAACAACGCAGCAAGAGAGGCAAUCCGUGUGCAGGAGAUCUUCACCUCCUACUUCUUCAAAGAGGGUGCUGUUCCCUGGCAACACCAUAGACUACACUAUGCACAACCAAAGGCUCUUUUAAGAGGGUACUGUUCCCUGGCAACACCAUAGACUACACUAUGCACAACCAAAGGCUCUUUUAAGAGGGUGCUGUUCCCUGGCAACACCAUAGACUACACUAUGCACAACCAAAGGCUAUUUUAAGAGCCAUCCACAUUGCAAUAAGAGUAUUCUUCCAUUUACUUAGCUAUGUCAACUGUAGUUAUUCAAUUCAUAGUUUCUCUCCCUUUGAUUUCUACUUCUCAGGUGAGGGUGCUGUUUAGGUAAGGGUGUGAUGUCUGUGCAAAAACAAAACAGGCUGUUUUAAAUCACCCAUAUUGAAAAAAUGUAGAACAAUUAGACACCCUAUAACCCACACCUACACACUCAUGUAACAAUCUGAUUGAUGGAUUGUGUUGUGCAGUAAGCAGGCUCAGGUGUAUAACUGUGGCUCCUUCCACCUUCAAAGAAUAGGCAAGAGGGCCAACCAUGGAGAAUAGUAAGACACUUCAUUAUUUCUAUAACUACGCUAUAUUGUUUGUCCUUGUGGGUCCGUUCAUGUUUUUCAGCAUAAAGUACUCUGCAGCCACUUAGUGUGGUGUGGACACCAGGUGAGGCCACACACAGAUUCCUGUUGAACACUGUCACUUUAACUACCUUAUUUUCUCAAUAACAGUCUCUCUCCUUCACUUCAUCCCUCUCUCCCCUUCUCCCUAAGUCCUCUAGGUUAUAUCAGCUGUGUCGGUGAACCCCUCCUGCAUCUGAACUGGCUACAUAGAGGGCACAGCAUGGUCAGAGAUAUGUUUUGAUGUGAGAGGAUGCCAACCCCCAGUCCCAUCAUCACCACCUCACCCUCUUUUAAGAUAACCUUUGGGCCGACUAGAGACACUGCUAUGUAAUUGUGAUGAACUGAGAGAAUAUUUAUGUAGCACUGUGAUUCAUUAAUCAUGUGCUGCCUUCCCUGCUCCUAUGUGCUUACCUCUUUCCCUUUCUGUCUUUUACACCUCUCUCUCCACCUCCUCUUUCUUCCUCUGUUUUUAUAAUGCACAACAGAUGUGCAUUGAAGUACAGAUUGAACUUGUAUUUAUAACACUUGGAUAAUGAGCUUUUCAAUAUUCUCUACUGAUUGAAAUGAAGUGUAAUGUGAUGAAAUACUCCACCUAUCCUGUGUUUAUCAGAUCAAUGCAGAUGAAGGGCAUUAGAUGUUGAGAUGAACCGGUGUUGGAGUAUUUACAUGAUGCAUAGGAAGUGUAGUGUUCUGUUUUUAACAUUAUGUUUCUGUAUAUAUGAAUUAACUAGUUAAAUCCUAUUUCUAGUCUAUUAGUUACAAUGUGUAACCAUUGAUGUCCCAGGACCAAGAUUGGUAAACACUGUUGAAGUGUAGAAUUGUAAUACAUACAUGCAGACACAGCAUCAUUCAAAGACUGGAAUUUGACACUCCUGGUAUUGGAUAUGACUGAAAGAUAAUCUCAAAGACAUUCAUACCUAAACUGCACAUUUAUUUGCCAAGGUACAGUACAUGAUCAGUGAAUAUAUUAAAUGUACAGGCUACAAUGUGGGGAUCUCAUGCAUGGUAAUAACUACAUGUAUAUACGACUUGCAUUCUUGGCACAACAUGAUAUUAUAUUCUACUCAAUCCAUAGGCUUCAUUAAUGUCAUUCAGGCUGUUUUGAAGUUGAUACAACUGGCUAUGAUAGCUGAGGUUCAUAGCUAGGUUCUUAACUAAUAUGUAUACCAAACGUUUGGUUGCAUACACAGAUCGGCUAGAUAGCUAGCUACACAUCCAUGGGCAUACAGGGAUUUUAAUCAUCCACUGCACAAUAAGCAAGAACAUAGCUAGCUACGUGAUUUCAUCUAUCUGCAUGGCAAAUAUCAGUAAGGCAAGCUUACAAAAUUGUACAUUCAAUUUACAGUAAAUUCUUCAGCUAGCUAGAUUCUAUACAUCCACUGUUUCACAAAUCAACCGCCUGGUUUGCUGGUUGUUUCAGGAGUCCCUAAAACAACCAGAAUUACAAUUUCAUACUCAUGUCACAACACCCAUAAAGCUAGCCAGCUAGCUGGCUAAUGUUAGCUGGGUCAGCUAGCUGGCUAAAUCGCGAUUUUCAUGAAUUAACUUUAUGAUAAAAAAAAAUGCAUAAUCGUUUGUCUCUACAUGAACAAACAUUCCUGUCAACUGUACAUGUUUUUUGCAUGAUUCGUUAUGACGUUAUAAUCCCUUACAUUUGCUUCCAUCCUAGUAUUUCCGUCCGCCAUCUUUGAUUCAGUUCAGUUCUGUGUAGGGGUUCCCCUCUCUCCUAGUAUUUCUGUUCGCCAUCUUUGAUUCAGUUCAGUUCUGUGUAGGGGUACCCCUCUCUCCUAGUAUUUCUGUCCGCCAUCUUUGCUGAAGAAAGUGUAACAGUCACUAGCGCAGCAGCAGCCUCCCCCGGUCCUAGUGCCGGCCCGGUAAGAUGUUUAAGAUGCGAUGGAACGGUUGACGAAAUAAGAAAUCACAGACAAAAUAUAUUGACUGAUAUUGAUUUAUUUAGUUUAAAAUUAAUAUUUCAUAUCAGCAGAUUGCGGUCUGCGACUUUAAGGCAAUGCUGCUACUGUGACGUAUAAUCUAGUGGACGGAACGCUUCUUUCAACAGCAGCAACAGACAGUCAGCCACCUCGGUAGCUUGCUAGACAAAAUAGACGAACCAAUAAAGUUCUGUAGACGCUUUAGUGUAUAUUUGCCACUGUAUUUUAAAGCCACUUCUGUCGCCUAGUUAGUUAUCCGUUUUAAUUUCAUAUUUACGGUAUUGUUUUUAUUAUUCAUCUAGCGGGCUGGUUAAGUUAGCAUUAGCCUAGCUAGCUAACAUCUCCAACCAUGAGGUCACUAAGCUACUCUCUUGUUAAUGAAGAGGAGGUCUGCUGGACGGAGAAAGAAGCUCUCGUCAAAGAGGAGGAGGAAGAGAAGGAUAUCACAGUAAAACAAGAAGUAGAGGGUGAGGCUGUUACAGUGAAAGAAGAAGAGAAAGACGCGUUCAGAUUGAAAGAGGAAGAGGAUGUUACAGUAAAAGAAGAGGAGGAAGAGAAAGAGGAGGGUGCAGUUUUUGGAGUGAAGGAGGAGGAGAGGGAGAUGACUGUCACAUUGAAAAAGGAGAUGGAAGAAGAGGAGGAAACUGGAUUUCUGGACUCGGUUUCCCAAACGCAUCUUAAGGCAUCCGAUGGUUCUAACGAUGAACGGGCCCUGGUUAACACAAAACUUCCCAUUUGAAUCAAUAAGGAUUGCAGUUGUGGGUGACUAUCUGGGUGGAGCAGACUGGGAGGCUGGUAUUCUGCCCUGGGCUGGAGCAGACUGGGAGGCUGGUAUUCUGACCUGGGCUGGAGCAGACUGAGAGGCUGGUAUUCUGACCUGUGCUGGAGCAGACUGGGAGGCUGGUAUUCUGACCUGGGCUGGAGCACACUGUGUUGGAGCAGACUGAGAGGCUGGUUUUCUGACCUGGGCUGUGGCAGACUGAGAGGCUGGUAUUCUGACCUGGGCUGGAGCAGACUGGGAG